CCUACGGGAGGCAGCAGUGAGGAAUAUUGGUCAAUGGCCGAGAGGCUGAACCAGCCAAGUCGCGUGAGGGAAUACGGCCCUACGGGUUGUAAACCUCUGUUGUCUGGGAGCAAAGCGAGUAGCUUGUGACUCAUUAAGAGUACCCGCAUAAAAAGCAUCGGCUAACUCCGUGCCUGCAGCCGCGUUAAUACGUAGGAUGCGAGCGUUGUCAGGAUUUGUUGGGUUGAAGGGGUGCGCAGGCGGAGGUGCAAGUCAGCGGUCAAAUUGCGGGGCUCAACCCCGUACUGCCGUUGAAACUGCAUCCCUAGAGUGCGGGAGAAGUAUGCGGAAUGCGUGGUGUAGCGGUGAAAUGCAUAGAUAUCAAGAAGAAC
rnacentral:rRNA from 1 species